rnacentral:rRNA from 1 species
UGGGGAAUAUUGCACAAUGGGCGAAAGCCUGAUGCAGCAACGCCGCGUGAGUGAUGAAGGCCUUCGGGUUGUAAAGCUCUGUCUUUUGGGACGAUAAUGACGGUACCAAAGGAGGAAGCCACGGCUAACUACGUGCCAGCAGCCGCGGUAAUACGUAGGUGGCAAGCGUUGUCCGGAUUUACUGGGCGUAAAGGAUGCGUAGGCGGAUUUUUAAGUGAGAUGUGAAAUACCCGGGCUUAACUUGGGUGCUGCAUUUCAAACUGGGAAUCUAGAGUGCGGGAGAGGAGAAUGGAAUUCCUAGUGUAGCGGUGAAAUGCGUAGAGAUUAGGAAGAACACCGGUGGCGAAGGCGAUUCUCUGGACCGUAACUGACGCUGAGGCAUGAAAGCGUGGGUAGCAAACAGGAUUAGAUACCCUGGUAGUCCACGCCGUAAACGAUGAGUACUAGGUGUAGGAGGUAUCGACCCCUUCUGUGCCGCAGUUAACACAAUAAGUACUCCGCCUGGGAAGUACGAUCGCAAGAUU